rnacentral:tRNA from 1 species
GGGGAUAUGGCGGAAUUGGCAGACGCAUCGGAUUUAGGAUCCGAUGGGGUGACCCGUGCAGGUUCGAGCCCUGUUAUCCUCA